rnacentral:rRNA from 1 species
UUGAUUUCACACUGCCGAGAAAAGCCUCUAGAUAGAAAAUAGGUGCCCGUACCGCAAACCGACACAGGUAGUCAAGAUGAGAAUUCUAAGGUGAGCGAGCGAACUCUCGUUAAGGAACUCGGCAAAAUGACCCCGUAACUUCGGGAGAAGGGGUGCUCUUUAGGGUUAACGCCCAGAAGAGCCGCAGUGAAUAGGCCCAAGCGACUGUUUAUCAAAAACACAGGUCUCUGCUAAACCGUAAGGUGAUGUAUAGGGGCUGACGCCUGCCCGGUGCUGGAAGGUUAAGAGGAGUGGUUAGCUUCUGCGAAGCUACGAAUCGAAGCCCCAGUAAACGGCGGCCGUAACUAUAACGGUCCUAAGGUAGCGAAAUUCCUUGUCGGGUAAGUUCCGACCCGCACGAAAGGCGUAACGAUUUGGGCACUGUCUCAACGAGAGACUCGGUGAAAUCAUAGUACCUGUGAAGAUGCAGGUUACCCGCGACAGGACGGAAAGACCCCGUGGAGCUUUACUGUAGCCUGAUAUUGAAAUUCGGCACAGCUUGUACAGGAUAGGUAGGAGCCUUUGAAACGUGAGCGCUAGCUUACGUGGAGGCGCUGGUGGGAUACUACCCUAGCUGUGUUGGCUUUCUAACCCGCACCACUUAUCGUGGUGGGAGACAGUGUCAGGCGGGCAGUUUGACUGGGGCGGUCGCCUCCUAAAAGGUAACGGAGGCGCUCAAAGGUUCCCUCAGAAUGGUUGGAAAUCAUUCAUAGAGUGUAAAGGCAUAAGGGAGCUUGACUGCGAGACCUACAAGUCGAGCAGGGUCGAAAGACGGACUUAGUGAUCCGGUGGUUCCGCAUGGAAGGGCCAUCGCUCAACGGAUAAAAGCUACCCCGGGGAUAACAGGCUUAUCUCCCCCAAGAGUUCACAUCGACGGGGAGGUUUGGCACCUCGAUGUCGGCUCAUC